GAGGGAACCAGUGUGAGAGCUCAGCAGCCAGCCAGCCUGAUGAAGGGAGGCCCGCGCCGAACAGAAACAGUACCUUUAUUCCUGCAAGCUAAGUCUUCUAUAGCCGCUUUAUAAAGAUGCAGUUUCUAAGCAAUGCCAGGCUCACACUGCGGCUAUGAUGGUUUGCCCGGAAUCGGUCAGUCCUCCAAGGAAGCUGGUUCCUUUUUGUGAAGAGUGGUGUUGAGAAAACCAGAUCGGAGGGCUAGGCGUGCUGCUCACUGUUUAUGGAUCGUCACUGUGCUCAGACCUCCUCACUGGACAGUCAGGCAAAAUAUAUAUGUCUAUGCUACAAAAGGCCUGUUAGAAAGUGGGGGAAAAUUGCUGGUCUCACAAAGAUCAUUUCAGCUCUAUCCGGGCCCACUGGACAGCUAACACCAGCAGAAUCAUUUUGGACCAAGAGGGUCAGCAAGAUGGCGCAAGGUACUGAUUCUCUUCUGGCUGAAUGCCACGGUUUGCCCCAUAGAGUAGCCAUGGGCAGCAAACAUGGAUUCAUACAGCUGUCAGAGAAGGUUCGCGAUGAAUAAGUGAACUUAUAUCCACCCUUGAAAAAGAGGCAGGCACAAGGAAGGAAAGGGCACUUACCAGAACUUAAGCUCACGAGCCGGUGAAGCAAGAUCCCC
rnacentral:lncRNA from 1 species